GAUUUUAAUAUAUAAUUAUUUUGAAAAUAAUUAAUAAGGAUUUCCUUUAAAAUCA
rnacentral:tRNA from 1 species